CAAGUCCCGGCUGGGUAAGGAUUAACCAUCCACCCAUAUUGAGUGUUGCGCCUGUGGCGAAGUCAGUCUAACUGGCGAACAAGACAGGUGAAGCGUACACAAAGAACCUUGUAGGCCACAAGGGUGACCGUACACCCUGAAGUGCUGGUACAGCCUCGAUAGCGAGUUAUAUAUCUUUGAUAUAUAUGGUUGCAGUCGGCGAGGGUUUGAACG
rfam:Desulfuromonadales bacterium C00003096 3datasets_contig_59364.2, whole genome shotgun sequence.